rnacentral:rRNA from 1 species
GACGAACGCUGGCGGCGUGCUUAACACAUGCAAGUCGAACGGAAAGGCCCUGCUUUUGUGGGGUGCUCGAGUGGCGAACGGGUGAGUAACACGUGAGUAACCUGCCCUUGACUUUGGGAUAACUUCAGGAAACUGGGGCUAAUACCGGAUAGGAGCUCCUGCUGCAUGGUGGGGGUUGGAAAGUUUCGGCGGUUGGGGAUGGACUCGCGGCUUAUCAGCUUGUUGGUGGGGUUGUGGCUUACCAAGGCUUUGACGGGUAGCCGGCCUGAGAGGGUGACCGGGGACAUGGGGCCUGCGAUAGGGACCAGAAGCCUACGGGAGGCAGCAGGGGGGAAUAUGGCAGAGUGGGGGGAAGCCUGAUGCAGCAACGCCGCGUGCGGGAUGCCGGCCUUCGGGUUGUAAACCGCUUUCGCCUGUGACGAAGCGUGAGUGACGGUAAUGGGUAAAGAAGCACCGGCUAACUACGUG